AAAUGACAUGUCUGUGAAUAUCAGUCAUCCUCUCUCCCAAGCCAUCUCAGUGCUUGACCAAUGGAUCCACUGACAAAGUUGUCAUGGUGGCAGGGAUGGAGGCCUGGAAGGGACGGAGGCAGGGAUGGAGGCAGGGAUGGAGGCCUGGAAGGGAUGGAGGCAGGGAUGGAGGCCUGGAAGGGAUGGAGGCAGGGAUGGAGGCAGGGAUGGAGGCUUGGAAGGGACGGUGGCAGGGACGGAGGCCUGGAAGGGAUGCAGGCAGGGAUGGAGGCAGGGAUGGAGGCCUGGAAGGGAUGGAGGCAGGGAUGGAGGCCUGGAAGGGAUGGAGGCAGGGAUGGAGGCAGGGAUGGAGGCCUGGAAGGGAUGGAGGCAGGGAUGGAGGCCUGGAAGGGAUGGAGGCAGGGAUGGAGGCAGGGAUGGAGGCCUGGAAGGGACGGUGGCAGGGACGGAGGCCUGGAAGGGAUGCAGGCAGGGAUGGAGGCAGGGAUGGAGGCCUGGAAGGGAUGGAGGCAGGGAUGGAGGCCUGGAAGGGAUGGAGGCAGGGAUGGAGGCCUGGAAGGGAUGGAGGCAGGGAUGGAAGCCUGGAAGGGACGGUGGCAGGGAUGGGGGCUAUACAUGGGCUUAGCAACAUGGACUUCCUGUACAUGGUUGAUGCCAUUGCUGAGUGACUAAUCUGCCAGCAGAAGAAACCGACACUAAACCCCUGAUAAGGCUCCAUAGUCACCUGGUUGGUUACAUGGAUUGUAACCAGUUACACUGGACCUGUUCGAAUAUGGAGAUAAGGCAUAGAUCUGAUCUCACUGGAAUAGACACAUAUUCUGGGUAUGGAUUUUGUUGAAGAAGCAGCCAUUGUGUGACCUGCUGCCUGCUUUGGGAUCAUCCAGUCAGUGCCCUGGGCCUGGAACGUCCCCCAAUGUGGAAGCUGGCUCUUCCUUGGCCCAGAUUCUUCUUCCUUUUUAGGAGAAAUCUUUCCCCAUUUCUGAAUAAGCAGUGAGCUUCUUGUAUUGCUGAAACAUGUGCAUCAUAUGGCACCUUGCCAGCCCCACCAGUUUAUCUGCCCCUGUAGGAAGAGUGGGGUCUUUGCCUGUAGCAUGAGAGGGGUUCGUGCCUGGUGGGGGCGGGGGGUGUUGGGAAGAGGAUCUGGAGCCAAGUGGGCCAGAAGGGGUGGGAAUAGGCCUCUGGGAGGGCUCAGGGCUCUGCCUUAUUGGCUGUGAGAUGGAACUGAGAGAGACAGGUUUGCUUUAUUUAAGGGUGCUACCCACUCAUAGUUUAAAUUCUUUUUCAAAGCAUAGAGUAAAGGAUAAAAAGCACAAGCUGCCAGCAUUCCAUUUCUCUCCAAUUCCACAGUCAAACUCCCCAGGUGUAGCCCCCAUUAAAAUAGUUUCAUCUGUGUCCUUUUAGAAAUUUUCCUCUGAAAAACAGGGAUUUGGGGGGAAGACGGUCAGUUUAGGUUGGACCCUUGAGACUGAGGUGCUGUCUGACAUCCAGGGGGAGGAUGCUGGAGGCAAUGGAGAAGAAGGGUCUAGAGUUUAAUAGAAGGAUCUGGACUGAAGAUUUUUAUGAUACAUCCUCAGAAAAGUCCAUUUUUGGAGCCUGGUAUGCCAGCAAUUGCCGUGAUAAUGAUUUUUCCUGGAUGUUAACGUGAAGACCAUUGUUCCUAAGCUUGGGAACAUCAUAGGUGACCAUGCCCUUUUUCAAUAAGGUAUUUGCACAUGUUGCGGUGGUAAAUCUCUUCUGCUUGAAAUCGUUUUAGUUCAAGGAUCCCACUGCAUGGCUUCACACCCUGGCUAUCUGGAAAGAGUUCCGUCCACGUUUAUGACCUCAGUGUUGGGGGAGUUAGAGUUACUCUUGACCACAGGGAAGUUUUUAGUGGAGUACAUUUCAUCAUUGGGCACAACUUCUGCCCUCUCAGCCUCAAAAAAUAUUACUAAAAAGAAAUUAGGGCUGAGUUUUAUUUUCUGUAAUGAUGACCAGCAUGUUUCACCCUAAUGCUCACACCAAGAACAACUAGAAAAGUUG
ensembl:lncRNA